AAAUCAAGAUUCAAUGAUGAUAAUCAGCAACAAAUUCAACUCAUCCUAGUUCAGUUAUGAUUUACAGCAACAUUUAGAUCAUCAACAAGGUAAAUUAAUUAAUUAGAAACUCAACAUCUCAAAAUAUAGGGAGAAGGAAAAUGAGAAAAAGAUAGAACAGAGAAAGCGAUGAUGCAGGAACUCACUAAUCCAUGGCAGUCGACGACGGCGAGGACCUCAAACCAGAAGACGACAACCCCAUGGAAGACAAGUAGACAACAAAGCAAGCAAAUUAGGGGGAAGACAAUGACCACCACAAGCCGAGGGACCAGAUGCUGGUUUCGUCUGCUUCUGCCGGUGGCAAAGAUGAGCGCAGGUAAGGUGGCGACUGAGAGCGAGACGGCGGUGACAACACAGCGCGCAACGGCAACCUUGAGUGCGAGACAGUGAGUAAGCGA